rnacentral:lncRNA from 10 species
UGAUCCUCCCGCCUAAGUGCUGGGAUUACAGACACGACCACCGCACCCGGCUCUCCCGGGGCUUCUGAUCCAAAGCAGGUUGUUAUCCAUGCUCAGUGUAAGGUUGAAAUCUAUAGUGGGAAUACAAAGACAGGAAGAGUCAUUCUAAGAAGGGUUCUUGGAUGGGGGCAAGAUUUGAGCUAAAAUUUUCCAAGGAAAAGCAGGAUAUUAGGAGGAGGAAAGUGGGACAGAGGGGAGGCCUUGCUAGGCAGCAGCUACAGUUGGAACAAAGUCGGGGCAGUGGAGACACAGGAGGCAUACUGAAGAGUCGCAGGAAGAUUCAGCCUACCGCUGAAGCCUCCAUGGCAGAGAAGUGAGCAGGGGCUUCCCAAUUGGAGCUAUUUCUUUACAAAAAGGAGCUGUCAUUUUUCUUUUCUUUCUUUUUUUUUUUUUUUUUUUUUUUUGGCUGGGGGGACGGAGGCUUACUCUGUCACCCAGGCAGGAGUGCAAUGGCGUGGUCUCAGCUCACUGCAAGCUCCACCUCCUGGGUUCAGGCGAUUCUCCC